AUUGAACGCUGGCGGCAUGCCUUACACAUGCAAGUCGAACGGCAGCACGGGUGCUUGCACCUGGUGGCGAGUGGCGAACGGGUGAGUAAUACAUCGGAACAUGUCCUGUAGUGGGGGAUAGCCCGGCGAAAGCCGGAUUAAUACCGCAUACGAUCUACGGAUGAAAGCGGGGGACCUUCGGGCCUCGCGCUAUAGGGUUGGCCGAUGGCUGAUUAGCUAGUUGGUGGGGUAAAGGCCUACCAAGGCGACGAUCAGUAGCUGGUCUGAGAGGACGACCGGCCAGACUGGGACUGAGACACGGCCCAGACUCCUUCGGGAGGCAGCAGUGGGGAAUUUUGGACAAUGGGCGAAAGCCUGAUCCAGCAAUGCCGCGUGUGUGAAGAAGGCCUUCGGGUUGUAAAGCACUUUUGUCCGGAAAGAAAUCCUUGAUUCUAAUACAGUCGGGGGAUGACGGUACCGGAAGAAUAAGCACCGGCUAACUACGUGCCAGCCGCCGCCGUAAUAC
rnacentral:rRNA from 1 species